AGAGUUUGAUCAUGGCUCAGAACGAACGCUGGCGGCAUGCCUAACACAUGCAAGUCGAACGAGACCUUCGGGUCUAGUGGCGCACGGGUGCGUAACGCGUGGGAACCUGCCUUUAGGUUCGGAAUAACUCAGAGAAAUUUGAGCUAACACCGGAUAAUGUCUUCGGACCAAAGAUUUAUCGCCUUUAGAUGGGCCCGCGUAAGAUUAGCUAGUUGGUGGGGUAAAGGCCUACCAAGGCGACGAUCUUUAGCUGGUCUGAGAGGAUGAUCAGCCACACUGGGACUGAGACACGGCCCAGACUCCUACGGGAGGCAGCAGUGGGGAAUAUUGGACAAUGGGCGAAAGCCUGAUCCAGCAAUGCCGCGUGAGUGAUGAAGGCCUUAGGGUUGUAAAGCUCUUUUACCCGAGAUGAUAAUGACAGUAUCGGGAGAAUAAGCUCCGGCUAACUCCGUG
rnacentral:rRNA from 1 species